rnacentral:lncRNA from 1 species
AUUCUUAGUUCCAUUGCCAAACCUCAGGGCCCUGAAGUGCAGGGGAGAGGCUGAAUUCCAAAGACAGACUUGCUUCUGUACUCUGAGUGAUACUUCCAGAGCUGUUGAUCUGUUGAUGGAUGCCUCACUGAGAAAGAUCAUACCAUUGUGGCCUUCCCUGCUAACUUUUCAUUUUGAACUGAGAGCUUGUGGCCAUGAAGUGGACUCAGAAGGCUAAAACUGGAUCUUUCUAUUUGGAAACAACAGCUGGAUGUAGGGAUGUAAAAGCUCACGCCAGGCCUCCCAGGUAGGUGUAAACAUAGCUGUGGCUGGGAUGACUGUGGCUGGCAAUCUUCAUCCCACUCUACCCUGCAAGUGAAAUCGCUUGGGAGGUGACCUAGCUGCUGCUUUCCAAGGCCAUGGGUAUCUGGAGACAAAGCUUUCUCCACCUAGCCUGGGCAAAUGAGAACAACACUAAGACUACGAUGAGGAUGCCCAUCUGGCACCUACAAGGUGGUGGCAGACACCACCCAUCUUUGCCUGGCUAUGUGGGAAGGAAAUAAUUAUUCGUUAGUUCUGCUGUUACUGUCCUGGCUCCCUCACAGUAAACAAAGGGCUCACUACUGAGAAUAGAAAAGGCCAAAGUCCCAGGGCCUGGGGAACAUGUUCUUUGUUGAACCUCUUUAUUAAUCUAAAGCUGUUGGACCAACAGGUUGUGGUGUUAGGCGGAAGCUGGGCAGGCACUAAUCACUAAGGCAGAAGAACGGGUUUGGCAGGGUAGUUUUGAGUAGCAGCUUAUUGAAGAGGUGUUAUUACUCACUUUUUUAUUUUUUAUUUUUUUGAGACAAGUUCUCAAUCUGUCACCCAGGCUGGAAUGCAGUGGUACGAUCUCAGCUCACUGCAACCUCUGCCUCCCGGGCUCAAGUGAUCCUCCCACCCCAGCCUCCCGAGUAGCUGGGACUACAGAUGCAUGCCACCAUAUCUUUUGCAUUUUUUUGAAGAGACUGGGUUUCACGGUAUUGCCCAGGCUAGUCUUGAACUUCUGGGCCCAAUCUAUCUGCCCACCUCAGCCUCUCAAAGUGUUGGGAUGACAGGCAUGAGCCACCCCGCCGGCCCUAUGACUCACUCUUGAAAUGUCUUUUCUUAGAUAGAUAUGAUCUUUGGUCAGGGAGUAUUCUAUUAGCGCAGGAAGCUUUCAGUCUGAUUCUAGGGGUGGCAAGCUGGAAACAGGAUCAUGAGUGGCCUCUAUAUGGCUUCAUACUCCAGCAGAACCUGAGGUUGUGGUUGGGAAUGAGACACAUACAAACACACAAACACACCCACACACAUACGCCAUUCUGCUGCCCUAUGGCAUGUUAUCUUUUAGUGGCUUGGCUUUUACUGGGAGAGAAGGGAAACUAACAUUUAUUAAGCACCUAGUUUGUGUCAGCACUAGGCAAUGUGCUUUCAUUAUGUUAUCUGAUGGGAUUUGAUUUUGAAGCUUUUUUUACUGAUAAGGAAACUGAGACUGAAGGAGAUGAUAUAAUCUGAACAAGAUUGCAUAGUUAAUAUGUGGGAAAAAGAGAAUUUGAGCCCAAAUAGAGUCCAGCGCUUACCCACUUUCCAUUGAAUACACUGCCUGUACACCUGAGACCGCCACAGUCCAGACCCGAGUGCAACCUGCCCCAAGUAACUCCUUUGCUGCAAUGGCUGAAGCUCAUUUUUUUCACAUAGAGACUUCAAAUCACCAACAUGUAGCCCCCAGCUGGAACGCCUUCCACAUAAAAGGGAUAGCUCCCCUAAAAGUUUAUUCAACGCAAAAGAAUCCUCUCCAAUUUUACUGAGGUAGCUGACUAUGUCCACAACCAAAUCCGCCUCUAAACUGGAAUUCAGUUGCUGACCCAGCCCCAGACUCGGCUUUCUUGUCGGCACCAGGUGGCACAGCACUCUGUCUAUGUUUUUCAGACUGAACCUAUCCAGAAUUGUGAUUCAUGACUCACCAGAUCCUGUGGCCCCCCUAUCCAGGGGUGCACUCAGCACAUGAGGACGCCUGUGAUUCUGCCCCUAUGAGUUCAUCCCCAACCAGUCAGCAAUACCCAUUCCUUAACCCCCUGCCUGGCAAACUGUCUGGGAGACUGAUUUGAGUGAUAACUCCAAUUCUCUUGUGUGGGCCAGCCACAUAUCAAUAAAACUCUUUCUCUACUGCAAUGCCAUGGUCUCAGUGGAUUGAUUUUGUCUGUACACUGGGGCAGGAAGAACCCAUCAGGG